AUUAUAAUUAUAGUGAAACUAAUGCUGAGCAGACAUGUAGCGAUCGUAGACUUCCUCCACGACCGUUUGUGUACAGUAGUCCUCGUCUCUAACUCUUCUCUUAUACCAGCGAGCCAGGACACAGUACAAGAUGAAUCCAAACAGACUUACACCUAGCCUCACUCCAAAUAAGUGCAGUCUAAUAGUAGAAGGGAACUGGCUGAAGUACUCACCCAUAAAGGGAGCUUGGGCACAAACAAACUCCAACAUUGCACAAAGAAGAAGCCGUAGCAGCCAACCUCUUGAAAAUGAGUAUAAAAGAGUUACAACAGAGUCGUUUGUGUUAUCAUCGAUGAUUGAAAAAUUAUGAACAAGCUCUAAAAUCAGGAAAACGAUACUGAAAAUCGUAUUCGUUAGAGAGACAAAACCGAUUCUUUUUAUAAUGCUGGGAACUUUAUCUCUUAACAUGGGGUACAAAACAAACUCAUGUAUGUGAGUAUCAACUGCAACACACCACCAUGAGUUGUACGUAAAGAGACCCACUACAUAUGAAUUACAAUAUGUCCAUUUCAAAGGGUUGAUAGUUAGUGAAAUGUGAGGAUGCAUAGCAAGAGAAAAACUGAUGACCCAUAUGGAGAAGCUGGUGACUAACACCCUUAAAAUAGUCUUCACAUCUUCAACUUGCUCUGUAGUGAAUGGUCCACCAUACUUCGACUUUCCCAGGUCCAUUCUUGAAGGUAUGUCUUCUUCCCAGUAUGUGAGAGCACUGCGAUUUAGGGGAGCCUUGUGCUUGGCAGCAAACUUGAGAACUUUAUAGAUGGUUUUGAGAGAUUGAGGUGUCUUCGGCUCAAAUAUUAGCCAUUUCUUAGCAAAGAUGAAAUCAAUUAGAAGUGCAGAGCCAAUGGAUGCAGCCGGUAUCAAAGUAUGUAUCUGGAUAUUGUCGUGUAAUAAGCAUGUAGAAGAUAAAGCAUCAUUUAACCAGCUACCAAAACUUAAGGAAAAUACAAACCAGGCAAUAAAACUGGUGAUAUUAGAAGAGGAAGCAUCAGGCAUCUGAUCCAGACCUAACUGUAGUGAAGUAAUGAUGCUGGCCACUACUCCUACUAGGAACAAACUACUGAGUAUGCAGUACAGCACUGCAAAGACAUACUUGUUUUGAACAGAGAUAGGAACUAGGGUACAAGUACUGAAGCCUACUAAUGCGAAGAACUGAAAAAUAAAACCACAUUUCAUCACCUUAUAGUUCCCAAAUUUAGCAUCAGCUAGCCAACCGGAUAAAACAGCUCCAAACAACCCAAACACAACAGGAAAUACUACGAGCCAGCUUGGAUAUCCAGAAUCAGAUAAUUGUGAAGAUGAAAUUGCUGAGGAGAGUGCUAACCCCUUCAGUAUUGUCCACAGUAGGACAAGAAAAGUUCCCUUUGAAUAGAAGCAUCUCACUCUGUACUUGCACUUACAUUUUGAUGGUCGUGCUGAGCUGCAUUCCUCCGACAUCUUUAGGCUAUAGUUUUCGUUGACUGGAGUUUACAAUAUCAAACUGUCAAAUUGUGUGAUGUUGCAUGCUUGUGGAAAACCUUUAUUUGACACACUCACUACAUGUGUAACUGGCAUUCUCAUGGUGUUAAUUGUCAACAAAAACUACUCUUGUUUCAAUUUCGUAUGAUAAAAAUGACUCGACUGAGCUAUAUUGUUUUGGACUGAGAAUGUUUGCCAAACAUUGAACUCCUAUUUCAAUACUGAUAACUGUGUUAUCAUUUACACAACACGCAAUGUCUUUUAAUUUCAUGACCAUCCUUACAGUGAUAGGCCUAUAAGUAAGUUUUUUUUUGAUAAGCUUUCCCUGGUUGUACAAGCAUCCUCAUGAUAUUCUGCAAUAGGUUUCCAAGAUUGAGUCUUGGCCAUCGGCACUUCCUCAGAUUUGCGAUCGCUUAUCGGUUUGCCUCGAAUUAAUCAUCCGCUCAAAAAGACAGCGGCCAGUACUCGAAAAACAAAUUGUGACUACAAACAGAACUACCUCAGCUAUUCUGUCUUCCAAGUUAUUCUUCCUAGAUUCUCAUCUGUUGCAUCUAUAAUUACAUGCAUAUACUACAUUAUAUAAACAGACAAAACUGUAGACUCGCAAGCCACCUUUUCGGGAAAAAAAGAGUGGCUUGCGAGUCUAACAAAACUGUAGCCAUGCACAUAUUCUCUCUUAAUUCCUUCGAGAAAACAAGACAACACUAUAAAAUUAUAAACUUACGGAGACAUUGCAAUACACGAAGACACCCACUAUACCAUCUCCAUUCGACGAUCUGACCAAAAAAAGCAUGGGAACAAGCCCCACAAAAACAUUAAAAGAGUUGCUAUAGGAUUGGCUGGAGGAAGCACCAAAAACCCUGGAAAUCUGGCGAAAGCAAUCCGUUACAGCAGGCCGAGUUGUCUCUAAAAUACAUCAAAAUUGACAUUAAAACUAGGAAAUGUAUACAAUUAGGAAAUCUACAGACUAUACUUCCAUCUAGUGUGUUUGCCUGUACUACACUACUGUAUUAGAAAAUGAGCACACAACUCAAUUCACUUGAUAUAUAGCUUGCACAAAAUGCACUGUCAAAUCAUUAUCCCACAAAUUAUUAUUGUCUCAUGUACUGUAUGUGUAAUUAUAGGGAAUUGAACAUCGCGCUAUCUAUACCAGCAAUGUGAAAAAUAGAAUGGAAAAACUACCAGCAAAAACAUUCUCGAAAAUGUAUACAUGAAUGACGACGUUGUUCUCGUCGGAUUUCUUGUUUCCACGCUUUUUGGUGUUUCCCCCCGGCCAAUCGUAGCAACUUUUCACAUUGUAUAUGUUUUUGUGGGACUUGUUGUCAAUACAAUUAUAGCCCAGUGAGUUCAGUAUUAAGAUAGCUAUAAUAAUAACGGAUUACUGAAAUGGCAGUUUGAUCUAACUCCAUGCAGUGUUGUGUAUAUUGCUUGUGCCUAGCUAUUGAGUGCAUUAUCAUAGUCUAUCUUGAGAUAAUUAAUGUCAUCUAUGAAUUGUUGCUUUAAUGUUAAUGUUAAUGGUAUAUGAGUGCCGUUUAAUUAUUUAGAUUAAUUACGUGCACAUAAUAUGUUAUUCUAAUCUAUGGUACGGGACUACCCUGUAUGCAGAGCAUCUCCAUUUAUGUAGCAUUGCAUAGAUGCAAAAGCUCCAUCGUAGCUAGAGACUAAAUCACUGCAUACUGUAUUAGACAAAAAGUCGAAAUGAGUUGUAAAUACAGAGUCAGAAAGUUUUACUCAAAGGGAGCCUACCUCGUUCUAGCUUGGAUGCUGCUUGCGAGUGUUGCAGCUAGGACUUUCGUUUUCACAGUCAAUGUAGUUAAAGUAAUGUAUCCUGUGUGGCUAGGUGCGAUAUCAAUUUCGUUAGUUCUGCUGAUAACAUCGUGUCUUGGAUUGUUAGCCCAUUCCAAGCUUCAGGACUACACAAUAUCAAGAAUCGGAUUUAUCCUCCUGUUUCUUGUAACAAUGGUUUCCAGCAUAUACGUCCUAGUCCUCGGUCCUAGACUAGGAUACGGCUUUGGUUUUGGAAAGUACAGGCUCAUCAAUGAAGUCGUAUACUGUAUGUUAUUGUGUUUGGGUGUGGUGGCCCUCACAUGUUUCAUGUGUAUACUACAGCUGGGCCUGGAUCAGAUGCCUGAUGCAUCAUCUUCUAGUAUCACUAGUUUUAUCGCUUGGAUUGUGUUCAGUAUAAGUGCUGGUAGAUGGAUUGGGGAGUUUUUGGAUUUUGUCUUGAAGGACAACUGUUUCGGAUUGUCAAGUUUGCAGCCAAGCACAAGGCUCCCCUCAAUCGCAGUGCUCUCACAUACUGGGAGGAAGAUAUACCUUCAAGAAUGGACCUGGGAAAGUUGAGAUACGGUGGACCAUUCACUACAGAACAAGUUGAAGACGUUAAAUCAAUUUUACGAUUGUUGGCUAUGAGUCUACCAAUAUGGUUAAUCUCUUUUGCGCUUGCUUUUAAUCCUACAACUAUAAAAAUUCAAUUGAAUAAUUUCACCAACUGCGAAUCUGACAUGUUUUUCCAUUUCACGUACAGUGAUCAGUGGUGGUCUAUGAUCAGUACCCUGAUUAAUGAGUUCCUUAUUUACCCACUUCUAAGAGAUAGACUUCCAAGUAUUCUAAAAAGAAUCGGUAGUAUUUCCUUCCUUUCUUUAAUGUUGAGUAUAGUACUCAUUUUGAUACAAUUAUUUGAGGUUCUUCACAAAAACGAAGCAAUAAGUAUUUUAUCGUUUGUGUCGAGCGGUUUGCUGUCAAAUUUUUUUCUCUGUGCACUUAUGGAGUUAGUUUGUGCUCAGGCCCCAUACAACAUGCGGAGAUUAUUUGCUGUUUUUAUGAGUGUAACUUAUGUUACCUCUACAUAUGCUGGUAUUUUUAUAAGUGGUGCAAUUGCCUCAGAAAAAAAUGAAAUGGCACUGAUUGUGAUUGGAAUCAAGGCCGCUAUGAGUCUGCUUGGAUUCAUUCUGUACUGUGUCCUGGCUCGCUGGUACAAAAGGAGAGUUAGAGAUGAGGACUACAAUGCACACAGAGUGGUGGAGGAGGUCUAUGAUCGAUAUCUAACACCUCGUAAUCCACCUUAGGAGUGAGAAGAUGACUGAAGGCAAAGAUAAAGAAGGUUCUAUAAACAACUACCAUUUCUUGUAAAAUAUCGUGACAUUUAUGAUUUGUAACAAAAUACGUGAUAGCAUGCAUGCAGUCCUAUAAGUAUCCAUCUAGUUUCUAUGCACUAUAGUAAGAGCUUUCUUUUGCGGAUAGUAAGAUUGUACAUAAAAGUGAUUAGUAUUGGCAGCAUUCUUUGGUUAUUAAAUAAACAACAUGGAAAUAACCAUGGCAAUGUUGUUAUCAUCCUGAUCCUUUUCACGUAUAUAAAAAAGGUACACAAUGAAACCAUUUCACAAUGACAAUUAUGCAAUAAUGCACUCUCUCUCUCAUUUUAAUGGCCCUUAUUUGUGAAACAGUCUUAACCAACCUGAGAAGCAAAUGUACUAAUUAUAACUACAGUGGAACCUCCAAAUAACGGACAAGUUGGUGCAAGAGGUUUUGUCUGCUAUAUAUUCGGAGGUGUCUUUUAUUGGGAGGGUCCGCUAUUUAAAGAGUCCGUUAUAAAAGGUUCCACUAUAUAUAUAUAUAUAUAAGAUACUAUAUAGAGCAUAAUGCUGCACUAUAUAUAUAGAGAGAGGCAAGUUACUACGUACAGUCAUGUAUCACUGUAUUCUCAUGGUGUUAUUGUAAAUUUAAUUUCGUAUAGAGCUCUAUAGUAUUUUUGCUCCACUGGAGUUUACUGACUCGAAAUGUUUGCCAUAAUUAUUCAUAACUGUAAAAUAAUCAAGACCUAUGCUAUUGACAGGUUUAACAAUAAAAAGUGCAUUCCAAAACACAAAACAACGAGUUUUUAAGCCAACCAAGACUUACAGACACGCAUACUCUCAGGACUCUCAGUGCUAGACUUGGCAGACUCUCAAGGUGUGAUUUUACAGUACCGUAAUGUGCAUGGAAACUUUUCAACAAACACUUAAUAGUAAAAUCAGGACACACCGAUUC